UACGUAGGUGGCAAGCGUUGCUCGGAUUUACUGGGCGUAAAGGGCGCGUAGGCGGCCUGACAAGUCACUUGUGAAAUCUCCGGGCUUAACUCGGAACGGCCAAGUGAUACUGUCACGCUAGAGUGCAGAAGGGGCAAUCGGAAUUCUUGGUGUAGCGGUGAAAUGCGUAGAUAUCAAGAGGAACACCUGAGGUGAAGACGGGUUGCUGGGCUGACACUGACGCUGAGGCGCGAAAGCCAGGGGAGCAAACGGG
rnacentral:rRNA from 1 species